GUCCAAGUAGAGAUCUGGAGCAUUUUACAGAGGAAAAUCACAACAAUUUGAGACUCACUUUUCUGAAAGAAUUGUAGGUACAAAUUCAGAACCUUUAAUGAGAGCUGAGCUCUGAACUCUGUGUGACCAAACCUAAUGGAAAAUUCAUUUGAGGCAUUAAAACUGGUCCUGGGGCUUAAAAAGGAUGCUGUGUAAGAGAGAUGUUUAAGCUGGAGAGUAUCCUUAAGAAGGAAAUCAGGAUGGUGAAGCAUCUUGAGUUCAUGUCAUAAGAGGACAGGCUAAAGCAACAGCCUGAAGAAGAAUACAGAUUUUUCUCCUUUCUCAUGCAAUGAUCACUUCUGGACUUUGGAGCAUCACAAGGAAGUAUCUGUUCCUUGUCUGACAGCCAAACAGGUGUUUUCCAUUAUUAUGUGGCUUCAGGGGUAGGAAAAGGUACUCAGUUACCUCUGUCAGAUUACAUUAGAGGAUUUAGGUGACAUCCUUGUCCUGGAAUCACUAAAGAUACUCCUACAGGCUACUUAGAGAUACAAAUAUAAUGGACA
rnacentral:lncRNA from 1 species